AUUGAGGGCAAGUCUGGUGCCAGCAGCCGCGGUAAUUCCAGCUCCAAUAGCGUAUAUUAAAGUUGUUGCGGUUAAAAAGCUCGUAGUUGGAGGUCAGUUCCGGACUGGUGGGGAGGUCACCGCCCGGUGCUUGCCCGCCAGGCUCCGAACAGCUUCCCUUUGGGGGAAGCCAAGCCGGUUGUUGCUGGGUGCUCUUUACCGAGUGUCCGGCGUGGCCGGCCAGUUCACCUUGAAUAAAUGAGAGUGCUCAAAGCAGGCUACUCACGAAAGCAAUGCCCGAAUGUUACCUGCAUGGAAUGAUGGAAGAUGAUCUCGGUUCCAUUUUGUUGGUGGUGGGAGCCAGAGGUAAUGAUAAAGAGGGACUGUCGGGGGCAUCCGUACUACGACGCGAGAGGUGAAAUUCAGUGACCGUCGUAGGACGAACAACAGCGAAAGCAUUUGCCAAGAAUGUCUUCGUUGAUCAAGAACGAAAGUUAGAGGAUCGAAGGCGAUCAGAUACCGCCCUAGUUCUAACCCUAAACGAUGCUGACUAGCAAUUCGCCUUUGUUAUUGCCAUGACGUGGCGAGACGCCCCCGGGAAACCUCAAGUGUUUGAGUUCCGGGGGUAGUAUGGUUGCAAAAGUGAAACUUAAAGGAAUUGACGGAAGGGCACCACCAUGANUGGAGCCUGCGGCUUAAUUUGACUCACCCGGGGA
rnacentral:rRNA from 1 species